CCUACGGGUGGCAGCAGUCGAGAAUCAUUCACAAUGGGGGAAACCCUGAUGGGGCGACGCCGCGUGGGGGAAUGAAGGUCUUCGGAUUGUAAACCCCUGUCAUGUGGGAGCAAAUUAAAAAGAUAGUACCACAAGAGGAAGAGACGGCUAACUCUGUGACAGCAGCCGCGGUAAUACAGAGGUCUCAAGCGUUGUUCGGAAUCACUGGGCGGAAAGCGUGCGUAGGCUGUUUCGUAAGUCGUGUGUGAAAGGCGCGGGCUCAACCCGCGGACGGCACAUGAUACUGCGAGACUAGAGUAAUGGAGGGGGAACCGGAAGUCUCGGUGUAGCAGUGAAAUGCGUAGAUAUCGAGAGGAACACUCGUGGCGAAGGCGGGUUCCUGGACAUUAACUGACGCUGAGGCACGAAGGCCAGGGGAGCGAAAGGGAUUAGAUACCCGUGUAGUC
rnacentral:rRNA from 1 species